rnacentral:rRNA from 1 species
CCUACGGGUGGCAGCAGUGAGGAAUAUUUGUCAAUGGGCGCGAGCCUGAACCAGCCAAGCAGCGUGAAGGAUGACUGCCCUACGGGUUGUAAACUUCUUUUAUAAAGGAAUAAAGUGAGGCACGAGUGCCUUUAUGUAUGUACUUUAUGAAUAAGGAUCGGCUAACUCCGUGCCAGCAGCCGCGGUAAUACGGAGGAGCCGAGCGUUAUCCGGAUUUAUUGGGUGUAAAGGGAGCGUAGAUGGGUUGUUAAGUCAGUUGUGAAAGUGUGCGGCUCAACCGUAAAAUUGCAAUUGAUACUGGCAGCCUAGAGUACAGGUGAGGUAGGCGGAAUUCGUGGUGUAGCAGUGAAAUGCUUAGAUAUCACGAAGAACUCCGAUGGCGAAGGCGGCUUACUAAACUGCAACUGACAUUGAGGCUCGAAGGUGUGGGUAUCAAACAGGAUUAGAUACCCUAGUAGUC